rnacentral:rRNA from 1 species
GACGAACGCUGGCGGCGUGCUUAAUACAUGCAAGUCGAACGGAAGGGCCCUGCUCUUGCGGGGUGCACGAGUGGCGCACACGUGUGUAACACGCGAGUAACAUCCCCUUAACUUUGGGAUAACUCCAGGGAAAUGGGGCGCUUACACCACAGAAGCUUCCGCUGCACGGGGGUGGUUGGAAAGUUGCGGCGGUUGGGGAUGGACUCGGGGCUUCUCAGCUUGCUGGAGGGGUAGUGGCUUACAACGGCUUAGACGGGUAGCCGGCCUGAGAAGGUGACCGGCCACAAUGGGACUGAGAGACGCCCCAGACGCGAACGGGAGGCAGCAGUGGGGAGUAUUACACAGUGGGCGGAAGCCAGAUGCAGCAACUCCGGGUGCGGGAAGACGUCCUGCGGGUGGUAAACCGCUGUCGCCGGUGACGAAGCGUGAGUGACGGUAAUGGGUAAAGAAGCACCGGCUAACUACGUG